rnacentral:rRNA from 1 species
ACGCGAGCUGGGUUCAGAACGUCGUGAGACAGUUCGGUCCCUAUCCGCUGUGGGCGUCGGAAAUUUGAGUGGAGCUGUCCUCAGUACGAGAGGACCGGGAUGGACAUACCUCCGGUGCAUCGGUUGUCCUGCCAAGGGCAUGGCCGAGUAGCUGCGUAUGGACGGGAUAAGCGCUGAAAGCAUCUAAGUGCGAAGCCCCCCACAAGAACAGAUUUCCCCCAUUGAUUUGGUAAGACCCGUGAGAGACGAUCACGUUGAUAGGCCUGAGGUGUACGCACAGCAAUGUGUUCAGCUGACAGGCACUAAUCGGUCGAGCGCUUGACCGA